rnacentral:piRNA from 1 species
UGUUUUAAUUAGUCUUUACAG